GUGCCAGCAGCCGCGGUAAUACGGAGGGUGCAAGCGUUAAUCGGAAUUACUGGGCGUAAAGCGCACGCAGGCGGUCUGUCAAGUCGGAUGUGAAAUCCCCGGGCUCAACCUGGGAACUGCAUUCGAAACUGGCAGGCUAGAGUCUUGUAGAGGGGGGUAGAAUUCCAGGUGUAGCGGUGAAAUGCGUAGAGAUCUGGAGGAAUACCGGUGGCGAAGGCGGCCCCCUGGACAAAGACUGACGCUCCAGGUGCGAAAGCGUGGGGAGCAAACAGGGAUUAGAUACCCUGGUAGUCC
rnacentral:rRNA from 1 species